rnacentral:ncRNA from 1 species
AUAUAAAUAAAUUUUUAUGAUUUGAAAAAUUUAAUUUAAAUUUAUUUUACAUGUAAAUUUUAGUGUGAAUUUUUAAUUAUUUUAAUAAUUUUUAAGUGAAUUAAUUUUAACAGUAAUUAAUAUUAAAAAUUUAAGAAAUUAAGAUUUAGUAAUAUUUAUUAAUUAUUAACAAAUUUUGUGCCAGCAGUUGCGGUUAUACAAAAAAUAAUUUAAAUUAUAUUAGUAAAUAAUUAAUAUUAAAAUUAAAAAUAAAUAUUAAAUUAUUAGGUGAAAUUUUAAUUUAAUUAAAAUUUUAUUUUAUAAUAUGAUUUAUUAAAUUUUAUAAAAAACUAGAAUUAGAUACUCUAUUAUAAAAAAUUAAAUUAAUAAUACUAAAAUAGUAUAUAAUUAUUUAUAAAAACUUAAAUAAUUUGGCGGUAUUUUAGUUCAUUUAGAGGAAUCUGUUUAAUAAUUGAUAGUCCACGAAUAAAUUUACUUAAUUUAUUAAUUUUGUAUAUCGUUGUUAAAAAAAUAUUUUUAAAAAAAAAUAAUAUUUUAAAAUUUAAAAUAAAAAUUAAUUCAGAUCAAGAUGCAGAUUAUAAUUAAGAAUAUAAUGGAUUACAAUAAAAAAUAAUUAAAUGGAUAGUAUUUUUUAAAGAUACUUGAAGGUGGAUUUAAAUGUAAUUUUAAUAAAUUUAUUAAAAUGAUUAAUAAUUAAAAUAUGUACAUAUUGCCCGUCACUUUCAUAAAUAAAUUGGAAUAAGUCGUAACAAAGUAGAGGUACUGGAAAGUGUUUCUAGAAAGAU